rnacentral:rRNA from 1 species
GAUGAACGCUGACAGAAUGCUUAACACAUGCGAGUCAACUUGAAUUUGGGUUUUUAACUUAGGUUUGGGUGGCGGACGGGUGAGUAACGCGUAAAGAACUUGCCUCACAGCUAGGGACAACAUUUGGAAACGAAUGCUAAUACCUAAUAUUAUGAUAAUAGGGCAUCCUAUAAUUAUGAAAGCUAUAAGCGCUGUGAGAGAGCUUUGCGUCCCAUUAGCUAGUUGGAGAGGUAACGGCUCACCAAGGCGAUGAUGGGUAGCCGGCCUGAGAGGGUGAUCGGCCACAAGGGGACUGAGACACGGCCCUUACUCCUACGGGAGGCAGCAGUGGGGAAUAUUGGACAAUGGACCGAGAGUCUGAUCCAGCAAUUCUGUGUGCACGAUGAGGUUUUUCGGAAUGUAAAGUGCUUUCAGUUGGGAAGAAACAAAUGACGGUACCAACAGAAGAAGUGACGGCUAAAUACGUG